UUAUUUUCCAGGUAGGAGGAAGCACAUCAACACCUCAGGUCGGGCAAGCACUAGCUUCUUCUUCUUCUUCCAUUCCUCCACCAAUGGUGGUGACCCUACCUCUUAAUUCAAUCCAACAACCGGAUAUAUGCUUCACUUUGUAGAGGAUGACAAUACCUUUUCUUCCCCCUUGCCAGAGACUACCAAUCAUCCAACAUCAGUCAUUAAUGAGCCUAUAGUUCCUGAGAUACCAGUUGUCAUAAAGGCGACUAGUCUCAUGGCUUCACAUGCUCCCACUCAAGCAAGCUAACCAACUUCCUCUAAGACAGCUACAACAACACAUCAUCCUCCUAAAGCACAAGGCCCUUCUCAGGCCUCUAGUAAGGGCUCGGGUAGGUCUUCUCAGCCUGCUCUGAGUAGAGUAGUUUCCCCCAACCUCUUCGAGCUACUGAAGUCUCAGGGAUUCCAAUCCCUCAACCUAAAAAGGGUGUUGUUGCUAAAUCUUUUCCUUCCAUUCUUGUUGAGGUUGCCACUGCUGCUGCUUCUGGUGGUGCUGACAUGAUGUCUUCUUCUUUGGCUUCUCUUCCAGCCACAUCAUUUUUGCCCGAAUUAGUUAAAAAGUUCCAGCAAAUUAAGACAAAUCUGAGAUCCCCAAGGGGCCAUUCUGAGCCUCAUCAUCUUCAAGAUUGGCGCAUGGUCUUCAGAGAAUAAAUGCAGAUGGACUUUUCUGCUUCCUUUAGCCUUAAGGGUCAUCAAGAUGCUAAAAGAGCUCUCAUUGAAUUAUACUAAGCCCAUCAGAUGACUAAGAUGCAAUAUGAGUCAUUCAUCUCCUUUUUUGAAAAUCUAAGGGCUUUAAUGGAUCAGCAUCUUAAGGUAGAGAGGCAAGAUAACAUGGUGAGGUGAUACAAGGAGAAGCACACUGGAACUUCUAUUACUCUACAACAGCUGGUGAAAGAAUGCUCACCUACAGAGGAUCUGAUAAUGGUGGUAGCUGCUAAGAUCCAGAAGCUGAAGGAAUAACUCUCUGCUCUAAAGGCUGAGCAUAUGACUUCCUCGAGCAUGCUAUACAAAAAGAUCGAGGAUGUGAAGAGAGUAAACCAUGAAGUGGAUGAGUUUGAAGUUCAUCUAGCCAACAUCAAAAUAGCUUUAGAAGAGCCAGGUUGCAUUUUCACCAUCAUGCAGACUUAUCAUUCUAGGAUAGCUGCCUUGGCUAAAGAUGUAAACUUGUUAUUCUAGAGCCUCUGUACUUCCCCAAUUUUUGAGUGAAAAUAUCUCUC